GCGUGAUUAGUUGCCCUUUAAUUGGGGGCGUGACGAAUGGAUUUACGAGGGUUAAGCUGUCUCCUGUCGAGCAAAAGAAAUUGGGCCACAGGUGAAAAUACCUGUAUGUGAACACAAGACAAGAAGACCCCGUAGAGCUUUGUUUAAAGCUAGGCGACAGGCGUUCUGUUUAGGGCGCCCGUCGGACUGAUAAAAACUUAACUGGGGUGGUUGAGGAAAAGCUAAACUUCUUUUCUCUAGUAGACGGCGAUAUGCCACGGAGGAUCUAUAGGGAAACAAUUUGUUCUAAUAUAGUCAAAAGAAAAGCUACCUCGGGGGUAACAGACUAAUUUUUCCUAAGAGUUCACAUUGACGGAAAAGU
rnacentral:rRNA from 1 species